UAAUGUCUGGGAAACUGCCUGAUGGAGGGGGGUAACUACUGGAAACGGUAGCUAAUACCGCAUAACGUCGCAAGACCAAAGAGGGGGACCUUCGGGCCUCAUGCCAUCAGAUGUGCCCAGAUGGGAUUAGCUAGUAGGUGGGGUAACGGCUCACCUAGGCGACGAUCCCUAGCUGGUCUGAGAGGAUGACCAGCCACACUGGAACUGAGACACGGUCCAG
rnacentral:rRNA from 1 species